rnacentral:rRNA from 1 species
AUUGAACGCUGGCGGCAGGCCUAACACAUGCAAGUCGAGCGGAGCGGCGGACGGGUGAGUAAUGCCUAGGAAUCUGCCUGCUAGUGGGGGAUAACGCCCGGCAACGGGCGCUAAUACCGCAUACUAUCAGAUGAGCCUAGGUCGGCUUGGCUAGCUGGUGGGGUAAAGGCCUACCAAGGCGACGAUCCGUAACUGGUCUGAGAGGAUGUUCAGUCACACUGAAACUGAGACACGGUCCAGACUCCUACGGGAGGCAGAAGUGGUGAAUAUUGGACAAUGGGCGAAAUCCUAAUCCAGCCAUGCCGCGGGUGUGAAGAAGGUCUUCGAAUUGUAAAACACUUUAGGUUGGGAGGCGUUACCAACAGAAUAAGCACCGGCUAACUUCGUGCCAGCAGCCGCGGUAAUAC